UUCGCCACUGGUUGUGUGCAGUACUCUGGUUUUCAGGUUUCUUCUUACAUGGAUUCUUUGUUGUAUUUCAAUAAGGAUCCAGAUCAAUGAUUUUGCAAUGAACACAUGUGUGGUGGAAGGGGCCUUGAGAUUUCCAUGUUGGGGAAGAAGUGGUCUUUUGCUGCAGGGAAGGGAAGGGCACCAGGGCCUAGAUUUGAGAAUGCUGGAGUGUGUAGACAUUCCCAUACCAUCAUAUUGGG